rnacentral:tRNA from 1 species
GCAGUCGUGACCGAAUGGUUAAGGCGAUGGAAUAGAAAUCCAUUGGGGUCUCCCCGCACAGGUUCGAAUCCUGUCGACUGCG